rnacentral:rRNA from 1 species
UGCUCAGGACGAACGCUGGCGGCGUGCCUAAUACAUGCAAGUCGAGCGGACAGAAGGGAGCUUGCUCCCGGAUGUUAGCGGCGGACGGGUGAGUAACACGUGGGUAACCUGCCUGUAAGACUGGGAUAACUCCGGGAAACCGGAGCUAAUACCGGAUAGUUCCUUGAACCGCAUGGUUCAAGGAUGAAAGACGGUUUCGGCUGUCACUUACAGAUGGACCCGCGGCGCAUUAGCUAGUUGGUGGGGUAAUGGCUCACCAAGGCGACGAUGCGUAGCCGACCUGAGAGGGUGAUCGGCCACACUGGGACUGAGACACGGCCCAGACUCCUACGGGAGGCAGCAGUAGGGAAUCUUCCGCAAUGGACGAAAGUCUGACGGAGCAACGCCGCGUGAGUGAUGAAGGUUUUCGGAUCGUAAAGCUCUGUUGUUAGGGAAGAACAAGUGCGAGAGUAACUGCUCGCACCUUGACGGUACCUAACCAGAAAGCCACGGCUAACUACGUGCCAGCAGCCGCGGUAAUACGUAGGUGGCAAGCGUUGUCCGGAAUUAUUGGGCGUAAAGGGCUCGCAGGCGGUUUCUUAAGUCUGAUGUGAAAGCCCCCGGCUCAACCGGGGAGGGUCAUUGGAAACUGGGAAACUUGAGUGCAGAAGAGGAGAGUGGAAUUCCACGUGUAGCGGUGAAAUGCGUAGAGAUGUGGAGGAACACCAGUGGCGAAGGCGACUCUCUGGUCUGUAACUGACGCUGAGGAGCGAAAGCGUGGGGAGCGAACAGGAUUAGAUACCCUGGUAGUCCACGCCGUAAACGAUGAGUGCUAAGUGUUAGGGGGUUUCCGCCCCUUAGUGCUGCAGCUAACGCAUUAAGCACUCCGCCUGGGAGUACCCC